ensembl:antisense Gm15701 predicted gene 15701
AUUAGGACUUACAGUGAGGGACCUGAACAACUCCCCUCUUGUUCCUAGUGGCCUGCUCUGUGAAGGGAUCUCAGCCAGAGUCAAGAACAAGUACCAGGCCCCUGGGAGGGGAGCGCCUAACACGCUGGAAUGGGCGGGUUCCUAAGCAUCAGACUUACAGCUAAGACGCCAGGUGUUGAGGCUAAACCUGCUUUUAGGGUUUGCAUCCAGGAAGGUUUGCAAAACAACCAGUGUACUAAAGUACUGCUUACGACCCUCUUCAUAAUGAAGUCCUUCAGCUGCGCCACGCCCUGGCGCACAGUAGGCUGGAGUGGUUCCAUCCACGACUCUUUGGCCCUGGAGACCGGUGUGUCCAUAUUGCCUAUGUUCUGGACCGCCUAGGGAUGACAGCAAGAACGAUAGAGCUUUGGGGAGACAACAGCUCAUCCAUGGCUGCCUACUUCAAGCUGAGGCCUUAUGAAGUCCCACAGGGGAACCAGGGAUCAUGGUAUUUUGAGUCUUUGGACACUUGGCCCGCCCACACCUUGGCCAGCAGAAGCAGCGUGCGGCUGGUGCGGGCAUCUGCAUGCCGCUCUCGCAGGUGGA